ensembl:lncRNA
GCAAACAUGAAGAUGGGGAUGGAUAGAGUGGGGGAGGGGGGAGAACAAGAACCAAAGUAGAAGCCACAUCACCUUUUCUGUGGAAGGAGGAAGACAGUUUUAAGAGAUUUGCCAGUUUCUCUAUCUCCCAUUCUUUCUGUGUUGCUACUUGGAUUCUAUAUAUUGGCUUAUCUUUCUCCUCUGUGAAUUGUUCUCCUUUGCCAUGCCCCUCUGCCUUGCUGCCUUGCCUUUCAGCCAGCCUACUAUCUGAAACUUCUGCAAACUGUUACUAUGACUGAGUUUGUGAAAGAAAUGUAAGAUCAAAGACGAGAGGAUGACUGGACUGUCUGAAUUCACAUCAGUCCCUGGGUGCCAGAAAAACCAGUUUUGAGGAAGAUGUUUCUACUUGUUAUGCAGUCAAUGAAAGCCAUCAAACACAACCAUGGCAACC